rnacentral:rRNA from 1 species
CGGAGGAAAAGAAACCAACCGGGAUUGCCUCAGUAACGGCGAGUGAAGCGGCAAGAGCUCAAAUUUGAAAUCUGACCCCCCCGGGGUCCGAGUUGUAAUUUGGAGAGGAUGCUUCGGGCACGGUCCCCAUCUAAGUGCCCCUGGAACGGGCUGUCAUAGAGGGUGAGAACCCCGUAUGGGAUGGGCGGCCGCGCCCGUGUGAAGCUCCUUCGACGAGUCGAGUUGUUUGGGAAUGCAGCUCUAAGCGGGUGGUAAAUUUCAUCUAAAGCUAAAUACUGGCCGGAGACCGAUAGCGCACAAGUAGAGUGAUCGAAAGAUGAAAAGCACUUUGAAAAGAGAGUUAAACAGCACGUGAAAUUGUUGAAAGGGAAGCGUUGGCCACCAGACGCGCCCGGGAGGGCUCAACCGGCACCUGUGCCGGCGUACUCCCCCCCGGGCGGGUCAGCAUCGGUUUGGGCGGUCGCAGAAAGGCCCCGGGAAUGUAGCACCCUCCGGGGUGCCUUAUAGCCCGGAGCGUCAUGCGGCCCGCCUGGACCGAGGCCCGCGC